ACUCCUGUAGUCUAGUGGUUAGGACGUCGGAUUCUGAUUCUGAUUCCGAAAACAUUGGUUCAAUUCCAGUUAGGAGCU